CCCGGGCCUUGUACACACCGCCCGUCACACCACGAAAGUUGGUAACACCCGAAGCCAGUGGCCCAACCCUCGGGAGGGAGCUGUCGAAGGUGGGAUCAGCGAUUGGGGUG
rnacentral:rRNA from 1 species